rnacentral:rRNA from 1 species
CUACGGGACGCUGCAGUGGGGAAUAUUGGACAAUGGGGGAAACCCUGAUCCAGCAAUGCCGCGUGUGUGAAGAAGGCCUGCGGGUCGUAAAGCACUUUCGGUUGGGAGGACUGCUUCUAGCACUAAUAUUGUUGGAAGUUGACGUUACCUUCAGAAGAAGCACCGGCUAACUCCGUGCCAGCAGCCGCGGUAAUACGGGUGGUGCAAGCGUUAAUCGGAAUUACUGGGCGUAAAGCGCGCGUAGGCGGCUAGAUCAGUCGGGUGUGAAAGCCCCGGGCUUAACCUGGGAACUGCAUCCGAUACUGUCUAGCUUGAGUACAGGAGAGGAGAGUGGAAUUCCACAUGUAGCGGUGAAAUGCGUAGAUAUGUGGAGGAACACCAAUGGCGAAGGCAGCUCUCUGGCCUGAUACUGACGCUGAGGUGCGAAAGCGUGGGGAGCAAACAGGAUUAUAUACCCUUGUAGUC